AUGUGCACAAGAAAACGUGAAGGUGGCAUGGGUUUCAGAGAUUUUGAGAUGUUCAAUCAAGCUCUCCUGGCCAAAGAAGUGUGGCGGAUCUGGACAGUCCCAAACUCUCUAUGUGCUCGAGUCUUGUAGGCUCGCUAUUUUGCGGACACAGGUAUUAUGGCUACGGCGUGUCCUCAAGGUUGCUCUUAUACUUGGAGAAGUUUGAUACAUGGUAGAAAUCUGCUAAUGCACGGACUAAUUUGGAGAAUAGGGGAUGGCUCUAAAGUUAAUGCCUAUCAUGAUAAUUAG
rnacentral:rRNA from 1 species